rnacentral:rRNA from 1 species
GUGUGCGAUCAUACCAGCAUUAAUGCACCGGAUCCCAUCAGAGCUCCACAGUUAGGCGUGCUUGGGCUAGAGUAGUACUGGGAUGGGUGACCUCCCGGGAAGUACUAGUGUUGCACCCU